UGGUGGAGCGAUUUGCUGGUCAAUUCCGAUAACGAACGAGACUCUAGCCUACUAAAUAGUUCGGGGACCCCCACAAAGGGGCCCCGCUUCAACUUCUUAGAGGGACAGGUGGCGUUUAGCCACACGAGAUUGAGCAAUAACA
rnacentral:rRNA from 1 species